GCCCACACUGCAAGUCAGCAACUGUGACGCUUUUGAAUUGGUAAGAAUGUCAGUUAUUGCUCUGUUCACGGCGGCUACCAAGCUCGCCGGUGUCUUAGUAACUAUCACCGUUGCGGCCAAUGCGUUUUCCUUCUCCGUCUACCGGAAAAAGAACCUCAAGCGUUUUCGCUCUCCCAUAGACGACUCCGCCGACGUUCUUGCUCACUUCAAUCUCAAUCCGUCUGAAGGGGAGAAAGGAUUCUUUUUUGGAUUGGCUACAGCACCUGCUCAUGUGGAAGACAGGCUUGAUGAUGCUUGGCUCCAAUUUGCCAAAAAUACAGAAUCACAUGAAAUCCAGCAGCCUCAAACAGCAGAUGCUAUUAUGGGCUCCGCUACAGGUGAUGGUGGAUCUCAGCAAGCACUGUUACCUCAGAGAGAAGCUACCAAGACCAUAAAGAGGAAAAAGUCCCUUAAGAUAGCAAUUGAGGCACAAAUAAGAGGAUUUGAGAAGUACAUAGAAGUGGAAGAGCUAACUCCAACUGAGCAAUGUCCUCAUAAUGUUGCUGCCUGGCAUAACGUCCCACACCCGGAGGAAAGGCUAAGGUUUUGGUCUGAUCCUGACAUUGAAUUGAAAUUAGCUAAAAAUACUGGAGUGCAAGUCUUUCGAAUGGGGGUAGAUUGGUCAAGGAUCAUGCCUGAAGAGCCACUCGGUGGACUGAAAGAAACUGUCAAUUUUGCGGCAUUGGAGCGAUAUAAAUGGAUCAUUAAUAGAGUCCGAUCAUAUGGGAUGAAGGUCAUGUUGACAUUGUUUCAUCACUCUCUACCACCGUGGGCAGGAGAAUACGGAGGAUGGAAACUGGAGAAGACAGUUGACUACUUCAUGGAAUUUACCAGGCUUAUUGUUGACUCUGUUGCAGAUAUAGUGGAUUAUUGGGUUACCUUUAACGAGCCUCAUGUCUUUUGUAUGCUCACUUACUGUGCUGGUGCCUGGCCUGGUGGUAAUC
rnacentral:misc_RNA from 1 species